rnacentral:rRNA from 1 species
AGUGAACGCUGGCGGCGUGCCUAAUACAUGCAAGUCGAACGGAGUGGCGCACGGGUGAGUAAUAUAUAGCUAAUCUGCCCCUUGCUGGAGGACAACAGUUAGAAAUGACUGCUAAUACUCCAUAGCAAGGGAUGAGACUAUAUCGUAUCAGCUAGUCGGUGGGGUAACGGCCUACCUAGGCUAUGACGCGUCACUGGUCGGAGAGGAUGAUCAGUCACGUUUGAACUUGAACACAAGGCAAACGCCUACGGGAGGCAGCAGUAGGGAAUAUUGCGCAAUGGGGGAAACCCUGACGCAGCAACGCCGCGUGAAGGAUGACACUUUUCGGAGCGUAAGCUCCUUUUGUUAGGGAAGCGGUACCUAACGAAUAAGCACCGGCUAACUCCGUGCCAGCAGCCGCGGUAAUAC